rnacentral:rRNA from 1 species
AUACGGAGGAUGCGAGCGUUAUCCGGAUUUAUUGGGCGUAAAGAGUGAGCAGGCGGUUAAUUAAGUCUGAGGUUAAAGCGUGGGGCUCAACCCCAUAAAGCCUUGGAAACUGAUUGACUAGAGUACGGGAGAAGUGAAGGGAACUCCAUGUGUAGCGGUGAAAUGCGUAGAUAUAUGGAAGAACACCAGUGGCGAAGGCGCUUCACUAGCCCGAAACUGACGCUCAGUCACGAAAGCGUGGGUAGCAAAUAGGAUUAGAUACCCUAGUAGUCCACGCUGUAAACGAUGACAACUAAAUAUUGCCGCGAGGCAGUGUUGAAGCUAACGCAUUAAGUUGUCCGCCUGGGAGUACGGUCGCAAGACUGAAACUUAAAGGAAUUGACGGGG